rnacentral:snRNA from 1 species
CGGAGGACAUUGUCAGGUG